rnacentral:sRNA from 1 species
AAGCAUAUCAAUAAGCGGAGGAAAAGAAACCAACAGGGAUUGCCCUAGUAACGGCGAGUGAAGCGGCAACAGCUCAAAUUUGAAAUCUGGCUUCGGCCCGAGUUGUAAUUUGCAGAGGAAGCUUCCGGCGCGGCACCUCCUGAGUCCCCUGGAACGGGGCGCCACAGAGGGUGAGAGCCCCGUAUAGUUGGAUGCCCAGCCCGUGUGAAGCUCCUUCGACGAGUCGAGUAGUUUGGGAAUGCUGCUCAAAAUGGGAGGUAAAUUUCUUCUAAAGCUAAAUACCGGCCAGAGACCGAUAGCGCACAAGUAGAGUGAUCGAAAGAUGAAAAGCACUUUGAAAAGAGGGUUAAAUAGCACGUGAAAUUGUUGAAAGGGAAGCGCUUGUGACCAGACUUGCGCCGGGCUGAUCAUCCGGUGUUCUCACCGGUGCACUCUGCCCGGCUCAGGCCAGCAUCGGUUCCCGCGGGGGGACAAAGGCCCUGGGAACGUAGCUCCUCCGGGAGUGUUAUAGCCCGGGGCGUAAUGCCCUCGC